rnacentral:rRNA from 1 species
GACGAACGCUGGCGGCGUGCUUAACACAUGCAAGUCGAACGGAAAGGCCCUGCUUUUGUGGGGUGCUCGAGUGGCGAACGGGUGAGUAACACGUGAGUAACCUGCCCUUGACUUUGGGAUAACUUCAGGAAACUGGGGCUAAUACCGGAUAGGAGCUCCUGCUGCAUGGUGGGGGUUGGAAAGUUUCGGCGGUUGGGGAUGGACUCGCGGCUUAUCAGCUUGUUGGUGGGGUAGUGGCUUACCAAGGCUUUGGCGGGUAGCCGGCCUGAGAGGGUGACCGGCCACAUUGGGACUGAGAUACGGCCCAGACUCCUACGGGAGGCAGCAGUGGGGAAUAUUGCACAAUGGGCGGAAGCCUGAUGCAGCAACGCCGCGUGCGGGAUGACGGCCUUCGGGUUGUAAACCGCUUUCGCCUGUGACGAAGCGUGAGUGACGGUAAUGGGUAAAGAAGCACCGGCUAACUACGUGCCAGCAGCCGCGGUGAUACGUAGGGUGCGAGCGUUGUCCGGAUUUAUUGGGCGUAAAGGGCUCGUAGGUGGUUGAUCGCGUCGGAAGUGUAAUCUUGGGGCUUAACCCUGAGCGUGCUUUCGAUACGGGUUGACUUGAGGAAGGUAGGGGAGAAUGGAAUUCCUGGUGGAGCGGUGGAAUGCGCAGAUAUCAGGAGGAACACCAGUGGCGAAGGCGGUUCUCUGGGCCUUUCCUGACGCUGAGGAGCGAAAGCGUGGGGAGCGAACAGGCUUAGAUACCCUGGUAGUCCACGCUGUAAACGGUGGGUACUAGGUGUGGGGUCCAUUCCACGGGUUCCGUGCCGUAGCUAACGCUUUAAGUACCCCGCCUGGGGAGUACGGCCGCAAGGCUAAAACUCAAAGGAAUUGACGGGGCCCCGCACAAGCGGCGGAGCAUGCGGAUUAAUUCGAUGCAACGCGUAGAACCUUACCUGGGUUUGACAUGGAUCGGGAGUGCUCAGAGAUGGGUGUGCCUCUUUUGGGGUCGGUUCACAGGUGGUGCAUGGCUGUCGUCAGCUCGUGUCGUGAGAUGUUGGGUUAAGUCCCGCAACGAGCGCAACCCUUGUUCACUGUUGCCAGCACGUUAUGGUGGGGACUCAGUGGAGACCGCCGGGGUCAACUCGGAGGAAGGUGGGGAUGACGUCAAGUCAUCAUGCCCCUUAUGUCCAGGGCUUCACGCAUGCUACAAUGGCUGGUACAGAGAGUGGCGAGCCUGUGAGGGUGAGCGAAUCUCGGAAAGCCGGUCUCAGUUCGGAUUGGGGUCUGCAACCCGACCUCAUGAAGUCGGAGUCGCUAGUAAUCGCAGAUCAGCAACGCUGCGGUGAAUACGUUCCCGGGGCU